rnacentral:rRNA from 2 species
AAGGAGCACGCCGCGUGAGUGAAGAAGGGUUUCGGCUCCGUAAAACUCUGUUGUUAGAGAAGAACAGCCGUGAGAGCAACUGCUCACGGUAUGACGGUAUCUAACCAGAAAGUCACGGCUAACUACGUGCCAGCAGCCGCGGUAAUACGUAGGUGGCAAACGUUGUCCGGAUUUAUUGGGCGUAAAGGGAGCGCAGGCGGUUUAUUAAGUCUGAUGUGAAAGCCUUCGGCUUAACCGGAGAAGUGCAUCGGAAACUGAUAAACUUGAGUGCAGAAAAGGAUAGUGGAACUUCAUGUGUAGCGGUGAAAUGCGUAGAUAUAUGAAGGAACACCAGUGGCGAAGGCGGCUAUCUGGUCUGUAACUGACGCUGAGGCUCGAAAGCAUGGGUAGCAAACAGGAUUAGAUACCCUGGUAGUCCAUGCCGUAAACGAUGAAUGCUAGGUGUUGGAAGGUUUCCGCCUUUCAGUGCCGCAGCUAACGCAUUAAGCAUUCCGCCUGGGGAGUACGACCGCAAGGUUGAAACUCAAAGGAAUUGACGGGGACCCGCACAAGCGGUGGAGCAUGUGGUUUAAUUCGAUGCUACGCGAAGAACCUUACCAGGACUUGACAUCUUCUGCCAAUCUAAGAGAUUAGACGUUCCCUUCGGGGACAGAAUGACAGGUGGUGCAUGGUUGUCGUCAGCUCGUGUCGUGAGAUGUUGGGUUAAGUCCCGCAACGAGCGCAACCCUUGUCUUUAGUUGCCAGCAUUAAGUUGGGCACUCUAGAGAGACUGCCGGUGAUAAACCGGAGGAAGGUGGGGAUGACGUCAAAUCAUCAUGCCCCUUAUGUCCUGGGCUACACACGUGCUACAAUGGGCGAUACAACGAGUUGCGAAACCGCGAGGUCAAGCUAAUCUCUUAAGUCGUUCUCAGUUCGGAUUG